rnacentral:rRNA from 1 species
UGGAGGCAGCAGUGGGGAAUUUUUCACAAUGGGCGAAAGCCUGAUGGAGCGACGCCGCGUGGGGGAUGAAUGGCUUCGGCCCGUAAACCCCUGUCAUUCGCGAUCAACCGUUGUUAUUUAAAAGAUGACAGCCUGAUAGUAGCGGAAGAGGAAGGGACGGCUAACUCUGUGCCAGCAGCCGCGGUAAUACAGAGGUCCCGAGCGUUGUUCGGAUUCACUGGGCGUAAAGGGUGCGUAGGUGGUGAGGUAAGUCGGAUGUGAAAGCUCGGAGCUCAACUCCGAAAUGGCAUUGGAAACUACCUUGCUGGAGGAUUGGAGGGGGGACUGGAAUACUUGGUGUAGCAGUGAAAUGCGUAGAUAUCAAGUGGAACACCAGUGGCGAAGGCGAGUCCCUGGACAAUUCCUGACACUGAGGCACGAAAGCUAGGGGAGCAAACAGGAUUAGAUACCCGCGUAC